CGCAAGAGUGGGGCUAGUCUCGUACCCUGCAUGUGCUGCCUCCCCCCGCACUGCGGGGCCCGAAGCCUGUGUCACAUCUGCCCUGGAACGGAAGCUUCAAACCACAUAGGCUCCGACAAGGUGGAAGCAUGAUUCUGCUGCUCAUAAUGUGUGGAGGGGAGCAGGCCAGGGCAGUGGCAUGGGGACCCUAAAUACAGAAACGGGCAUGCAGGAGAGGAGAAGCAGCCGGGCCAGAGUGGGGCCGAGCCCCUGUGAAGCUCAGUGCCCCAGUGUCCUGCAGCGGCGAGGGGCUGCCACGUGUGGGGAUUCCUCAGAACGGCGGAAGGAGCUGGGCCCAGCCUUGCCCGAGAUGUAUGGCGGGGGAGUCUGGACAUCUUAACCACACCGAGAACCAUUAAGGAGCAAGCUGGAAGGUUCCAGUUUGGGUCUCAAGACGUCCAUGUGCCAACAAGUGUCAAUCUCACAGAUGGACCUGGGCACCCACCUGUUGGAAUCACCGGUUCAGGAGAUCCCAUCGCCUACCGCGCUAGAGCCAGGAGGACCCCCAUCACCUCAUAGGAGCCUUCGGACUGUUGGCACCUGCUGCACCCUUCAGAUGUAUCUUCUUGACAAGGAAAUCAUUUGCAUCAUGUAAAAGUUAAAGAACAUUUCAGUGUCAAAUUUCCUAUGAAGUUAGAGAACCCUGUGGCUCAUGGAACCAUAUCCAGAUGUAGCUCUGCUUUCAGACUCUCCAGUAGUUUUGUGGUUGUACCCAGGGCUCCUUAUAUGCUCAUUUUUAAUUAAAAGAUUUAUUUUUAUAUUUAAAAUACUCUAUAAUCUUAAACUGAAUUUUACUAAAUGUUGGUGUCCAUUCCGUUCUGUGUAAUUCCCCAAAUGAAGUUAUCGGGCACAGGGCCUCUUUUAUAUUAAAAUUGAAAUUUC
rnacentral:lncRNA from 1 species